UGAUGUAUAAUAAACAGCCGGUGGUU
rnacentral:piRNA from 1 species